CACGUAGGGCGCAAGCGUUGUCCGGAAUUAUUGGGCGUAAAGCGCGUGUAGGCGGCCCGAUAAGUCCGCUGUGAAAGUCCAGGGCUCAACCCUGGGAUGCCGGUGGAUACUGUCGGGCUCGAGUCCGGAAGAGGCGAGUGGAAUUCCUGGUGUAGCGGUGAAAUGCGCAGAUAUCAGGAGGAACACCAAUGGCGAAGGCAGCUCGCUGGGACGGUACUGACGCUGAGGAGCGAAAGCGUGGGGAGCGAACAGG
rnacentral:rRNA from 1 species